rnacentral:lncRNA from 1 species
GGGAGGCCGGGAGGGGUCCCUGGGCGGGGAGUUGCUGCGCAUCUGUUGUGUGUGUGCGUCUGUCUGUCUGUUCAGGUCUGUUUUAGGCUGUGUCUGCCUGUCUCUCUGUCUGGGUCUCUUUCAGGCUGCGUCGGUCUGUCUGUCUGGGUCUGUUUCAGGCUGUGUCUGUCUGUCUGUCUGGGUCUGUUUCAGGCUGUGUCUGUCUGUCUGUCCGGGUCUGUUUCAGGCUGUGUCUGUCUGUCUGUUUGUCUGGGUCUGUUUCAGGCUGUGUCUGUCUGUCCGGGUCUGUUUCAGGCUGUAUGUGUGUCUGCUCUUUGCUUCUGCUCCUGGCUCUGUGUGUAUUUCCCG